rnacentral:lncRNA from 1 species
UGAUUCAUGAAAUACCAACCUUUCCCCAGUCUCUCCUAGGAACACAAGUCUAGUUGUCCCAGGACAACACACUUGUCACUGAGGCCUGGACUUGUGAUUCAUGAAAUACCAACCUUUCCCCAGUCUCUCCUAGGAACACAAGUCUAGUUGUCCCAGGACAACACACUUGUCACUGAGGCCUGGACUUGCCUAUAGGCCUCAGAUUGUCCCACACAGGAGAGGAGCCUGGUCCAUUUAUACUCCCAUCCACGGUGAAUCUCUCUGGGGAUGUUUUGCUGCAAGUUUACCACAACUUGAGAGAAUGAAAGCAGGGCAAUGGCCUGGUCACACUUGGCUUUUCAAAGGUCCUUCUGGUCACACUUGGCUUUUCAAAGGUCCUUCUGGGGAUGGUGUGGCACAGAGGACCCCCUGGAGACAUUUAUGAAACCUACUUGAACUGGCACGGUAGAACAGGGCAUGGAGGGAGCUGGGGCACUUGUACUCUGUGUACCGUCUUGGCCUGAUUUUGGACUCAAAUGCAAACACUGGCUGCUCUUGGCUCUCAAGCCUGCUGGACUGUGGACUGGAACUCACACCACCAACUCUCGGGGCUCUCAGAACUACAAACGCUACGUCAUAGGCUCCCUGGGUCUCUAGUUUGCUGACUGCAGACUUCUCAGCCUCCAUAACACACGAGCCAAUUCCUUAUAACAUAUGAUGAUAGAUACUCUUCCUUAAGUAGCUCCAAUUUCUGAUAUAUCAUUUUUAUUUAUUUAUUUUUUACUCCAAGAACUUUUUAACAUUUCUUAUAAGGCAAGACUCCUGACAAAUUCCCCCAACUUUUGUUUUUCUAAGAAAGACCAUAUUUCUUCUAUAAUUUUGAAAGCUAAUUUGAAAGGACAUAGAAUUGUAUGUUGUCAUUUUUUUC